UCAACCUAAGGGGGAAGAAAGCACUACCAUAAGUCAAAUGUAUGUAAAACGUUACAAAACUCUUAAGAAGUGUAAUGUCAUAGAUGAAGCUUUUAAUCCAAAGAGUACUUCUUCACUUCAUUCAUUCUCACAACGCCUCUGCUAUAGGUUCCUAUCAGUUAAUUAUAUUAGCCUGAAGCUAAAAAUAUGCUAUCUAAAAUGUUCACUUUAAGGCUCAGCUGGACAAAAACCAGGUCAAUAGUGAAGCUGACACAAGUCUGAAGCCUCUAUAUAAAAACGAGCAUGGGAGAAGAAGCAAAGAUGGACAGCAGUAGUCAUUUUCAAAUGCAAUUAUUAAAUGCAGGGUAAACUGAAAUGUGAAUACUAUUUCAUUUUUUUAAAUGGAAUGUUUCCCAAAUGAACUUAUAUUCAAUACAUUGUAAUGUUUAAAAUCAGUACCUAAGGAAAAUAGCAAAUUAAACAAUUAAAACAAGAAAAGUGAAGUGAGACAAUGAAAACACAGUAAUAAAGUUAACUGGGAGUUCAUACUGCAACCCAAAUAAGGACUUAAAAUUCUAAGUUGUUGGAAGAAUAAAAAAAUAAAUCAUUGCCUGGUAUUAAAAAGCUAUUAGGGGCCAGGUGUGCUUUUCUAGGAAGGGUAUUCCAAAGCUUGGGUGAGUCCAUCAUAAAGAGAGCUCAUUCCCAAGCAGUCAUCCGCUGCAUCUUGGCACGUAGAGGACAGGAAUGUACAGGAAGAGACAGCCCUUCAAAUUCUUCCAAGCUAUGAAAUAGUCUUAAAACACUGUUUUAACAUUCCCUCACCUUAUCUGAAACAUUGUCAUCACUGUCUUCAGUGGAUUUUCCUGAAGAAUCAAGGAUUAAUGGGACAAGUAAAGUUAAAGUUGUUUCUUCUGAA